UCCCUGGUGGCUCAGUGGUAAAGAAUCUGCCUGCCAAACAGGAGACACGGGUUACAUCCCUGGCUCGGGAA
rfam:Ovis aries breed Texel chromosome 11, whole genome shotgun sequence.